rnacentral:rRNA from 1 species
ACGCGUGGAACCUUACCAGGUCUUGACAUCCUCUGACACUCCUAGAGAUAGGACGUUCCCCUUCGGGGGACAGAGUGACAGGUGGUGCAUGGUUGUCGUCAGCUCGUGUCGUGAGAUGUUGGGUUAAGUCCCGCAACGAGCGCAACCCUUGUUCUUAGUUGCCAUCAUUUAGUUGGGCACUCUAAGGAGACUGCCGGUGACAAACCGGAGGAAGGUGGGGAUGACGUCAAAUCAUCAUGCCCCUUAUGACCUGGGCUACACACGUGCUACAAUGGGUGGUACAAAGGGCAGCAAAGCGGCGACGCCAGAGCCAAUCCCAUAAAACCACUCUCAGUUCGGAUUGUAGGCUGCAACUCGCCUACAUGAAGCUGGAAUCGCUAGUAAUCGCGGAUCAGCAUGCCGCGGUGAAUACGUUCCCGGGCCUUGUACACACCGCCCGU